GUAGUACGCUAGAGUUUGAUCUGGCUCAGUAAGUCGUAACAAGGUAACCGUAGAGUUUGAUCUUGGUUCAGGUAAUGCCUACGAAGCAGCCGGGUAGUGGGGGAUUACGUCCGGAAACGGGCGCUAAUACCGCAUACGUCCUGAGGGAGAAAGUGGGGGAUCUUCGGACCUCACGCUAUCGGAUGAGCCUAGGUCGGAUUAGCUAAUUGGUGGGGUAAAGGCCUACCAAGGCGACGAUCCGUAACUGGUCUGAGAGGAUGAUCAGUCACACUGGAACUGAGACACGGUCCAGACUCCUACGGGAGGCAGCAGUGGGGAAUAUUGGACAAUGGGCGAAAGCCUGAUCCAGCCAUGCCGCGUGUGUGAAGAAGGUCUUCGGAUUGUAAAGCACUUUAAGUUGGGAGGAAGGGCAGUAAGUUAAUACCUUGCUGUUUUGACGUUACCAACAGAAUAAGCACCGGCUAACUUCGUGCCAGCAGCCGCGGUAAUACGAAGGGUGCAAGCGUUAAUCGGAAUUACUGGGCGUAAAGCGCGCGUAGGUGGUUCAGCAAGUUGGAUGUGAAAUCCCCGGGCUCAACCUGGGAACUGCAUCCAAAACUACUGAGCUAGAGUACGGUAGAGGGUGGUGGAAUUUCCUGUGUAGCGGUGAAAUGCGUAGAUAUAGGAAGGAACACCAGUGGCGAAGGCGACCACCUGGACUGAUACUGACACUGAGGUGCGAAAGCGUGGGGAGCAAACAGGAUUAGAUACCCUGGUAGUCCACGCCGUAAACGAUGUCGACUAGCCCGUUGGGAUCCUUGAGAUCUUAGUGGCGCAGCUAACCCGAUAAAUCGACCGCCUGGGGAGUACCGCCGCCAGGUUAAAACUCAAAUGAAUUUGACGGGGGGCCCCCCCAAGCGGGGGAAAAUUGUGGUUUUAUUUCUAAACAACGCG
rnacentral:rRNA from 1 species